rnacentral:rRNA from 9 species
UCAGUUCAGCACUAAGUCACUUUGUCUUUAUGGCAAAUGUGAGAUGCAGUGUAUGGAAUGUCAAAUUUCUAGUAUGAGAAAUUAACGAUUUAAGUCCUUCUUAAAUGAGGCCAUUUACCCAUAGAGGGUGCCAGGCCCGUAUAACGUUAAUGAUUACUAGAUGGCAUUUCCAAAGAGUCGUGUUGCUUGAUAGUGCAGCACUAAGUGGGUGGUAAACUCCAUCUAAAACUAAAUAUAACCAUGAGACCGAUAGUAAACAAGUACCGUGAGGGAAAGUUGAAAAGAACUCUGAAUAGAGAGUUAAAUAGUACGUGAAACUGCUUAGAGGUUAAGCCCGAUGAACCUGAAUAUCCAUUAUAGAAAAUUCAUCAUUAUGAUUUUAAUAUUAAUAAUAUUAUAAUAAUGGUGUGCAUUUUUUCUAUAACGGACAUUGUAAUCUAUUAACAUAAAUAUAUUUAUCAUAAGAUCAAUGAUGCGUAAGUUUAUUCAAAUUAUUUUGCUUGCAAUUUAACAUAGAAUAAAUGCUCUUGAUUUGAUAAAGUGUUGAUAGAUUUAUUGUAUAUAGUGCUUAAAUAUUUAUAUUUUAUAAUAGCAUAUUAAUCAUUGAUUUUUAUGUUUAUUAUAUGCACUUAUAUGAUUAACAAUGCGAAAGAUUCAGGAUACCUUCGGGACCCGUCUUGAAACACGGACCAAGGAGUCUAACAUAUUUGCAAGUUAUUGGGUAUCAAAACCUAAUAGCGAAAUUAACAUAACUUUAAUGGGAUUAGUUUUUAGAUUAUUUAUAGUCUAUUAAUUCAAUCCCGGGGCGUUCUAUAUAGUUAUGUAUAAUAAUAUUUAUAUUAUUUAUACCUCUAACUAGAGCGUACCUUGAGCAUAUAUGCUGUGACCCGAAAGAUGGUGAACUAUACUUGAUCAGGUUGAAGUCAGGGGAAACCCUGAUGGAAGACCGAAACAGUUCUGACGUGCAAAUCGAUUGUCAGAAUUGAGUAUA